rnacentral:rRNA from 1 species
AGUGAACGCUGGCGGUAGGCCUAACACAUGCGAGUCGAACGGCAGCACAGUAAGAGCUUGCUCUUACGGGUGGCGAGUGGCGGACGGGUGAGGAAUACAUCGGAAUCUACUUUUUCGUGGGGGAUAACGUAGGGAAACUUACGCUAAUACCGCAUACGACCUACGGGUGAAAGCAGGGGAUCUUCGGACCUUGCGCGAUUGAAUGAGCCGAUGUCGAAUUAGCUAGUUGGCGGGGUAAAGGCCCACCAAGGCGACGAUCCGUAGCUGGUCUGAGAGGAUGAUCAGCCACACUGGAACUGAGACACGGUCCAGACUCCUACGGGAGGCAGCAGUGGGGAAUAUUGGACAAUGGGCGCAAGCCUGAUCCAGCCAUACCGCGUGGGUGAAGAAGGCCUUCGGGUUGUAAAGCCCUUUUGUUGGGAAAGAAAAGCAGCAGGUUAAUACCCCGCUGUUCUGACGGUACCCAAAGAAUAAGCACCGGCUAACUUCGUG